UGGUGGGUAGUUUGACUGGGGCGGUCUCCUCCUAAAGAGUAACGGAGGAGCACGAAGGUUGGCUAAUCCUGGUCGGACAUCAGGAGGUUAGUGCAAUGGCAUAAGCCAGCUUGACUGCGAGCGUGACGGCGCGAGCAGGUGCGAAAGCAGGUCAUAGUGAUCCGGUGGUUCUGAAUGGAAGGGCCAUCGCUCAACGGAUAAAAGGUACUCCGGGGAUAACAGGCUGAUACCGCCCAAGAGUUCAUAUCGACGGCGGUGUUUGGCACCUCGAUGUCGGCUCAUCACAUCCUGGGGCUGAAGUAGGUCCCAAGGGUAUGGCUGUUCGCCAUUUAAAGUGGUACGCGAGCUGGGUUUAGAACGUCGUGAGACAGUUCGGUCCCUAUCUGCCGUGGGCGCUGGAGAACUGAGGGGGGCUGCUCCUAGUACGAGAGGACCGGAGUGGACGCAUCACUGGUGUUCGGGUUGUCAUGCCAAUGGCACUGCCCGGUAGCUAAAUGCGGAAGAGAUAAGUGCUGAAAGCAUCUAAGCACGAAACUUGCCCCGAGAUGAGUUCUCCCUGAGACUUAGAGUCUCCUGAAGGAACGUUGAAGACGACGACGUUGAUAGGCCGGGUGUGUAAGCGCAGCGAUGCGUUGAGCUAACCGGUACUAAUGAACCGUGAGGCUUAACCUUAC
rnacentral:rRNA from 4 species